ACUUCCUUGUGCUGCUGGCUUCCUACCCUGAACUCAAAUCUGAAGAUGCUAUGGGGUCAAAUACCAUAUAUUAACGCAUAUAUGUGAAAUCUAGAAGAAUGGUACAGAUGAACGUGUUUGCAAGGCAGAAAUAGACACAGAUGCAGAGAACAAACCACAGGGAACUCUACUCAAUGGUCUGCGGUGACCUAAAUGGGAAGGAAAUCCGAAAUUACGCCGAUUCUUAAGCUGA